CCUACGGGCGGCAGCAGUGGGGAAUAUUGCACAAUGGGCGCAAGCCUGAUGCAGCCAUGCCGCGUGUGUGAAGAAGGCCUUCGGGUUGUAAAGCACUUUCAUCGGGGAGGAAGGCGUUAAGGUUAAUAACCUUGUCGAUUGACGUUACCCGCAGAAGAAGCACCGGCUAACUCCGUGCCAGCAGCCGCGGUAAUACGGAGGGUGCAAGCGUUAAUCGGAAUUACUGGGCGUAAAGCGCACGCAGGCGGUCUGUCAAGUCGGAUGUGAAAUCCCCGGGCUCAACCUGGGAACUGCAUUCGAAACUGGCAGGCUAGAGUCUUGUAGAGGGGGGUAGAAUUCCAGGUGUAGCGGUGAAAUGCGUAGAGAUCUGGAGGAAUACCGGUGGCGAAGGCGGCCCCCUGGACAAAGACUGACGCUCAGGUGCGAAAGCGUGGGGAGCAAACAGGAUUAGAUACCCCGGUAGUC
rnacentral:rRNA from 1 species